rnacentral:rRNA from 1 species
UACGUAGGGUCCGAGCGUUGUCCGGAAUUAUUGGGCGUAAAGAGCUCGUAGGCGGUGUGUCACGUCGGCCGUGAAAACCUGCAGCUUAACUGUGGGCGUGCGGUCGAUACGGGCAUCACUGGAGUUCGGCAGGGGAGACUGGAAUUCCUGGUGUAGCGGUGAAAUGCGCAGAUAUCAGGAGGAACACCGGUGGCGAAGGCGGGUCUCUGGGCCGAUACUGACGCUGAGGAGCGAAAGCGUGGGGAGCAAACAGG